rnacentral:misc_RNA from 1 species
GAUGAAGAACGUAGCGAAAUGCGAUACUUGGUGUGAAUUGCAGAAUCCCGUGAACCAUCGAGUCUUUGAACGCAAGUUGCGCCCGAAGCCAUUAGGCCGAGGGCACGCCUGCCUGGGCGUCACACGUCGUUGCCCCCCCAUCUACUCCUUCGGGAUUGCGGGGGGCGGAUGAUGGCCUCUCGUGCGCCUCGUCGCGCGGUUGGCCUAAAUGCCAAGUCCUCGGCGACGCACGCCACGACAAUCGGUGGUUGCGAAACCUCGGUUGCCCGUCGUGUGCGGUCGUCGCGCAUCGAGGGCUCGAAAAAAUUGCCGGGUUCCGGCUCGGCUUUCAACGCGACCCCAGGUCAGGCGGGGUUACCCGCUGAAUUUAAGCAUAUCAAUAAGCGGAGGA